UUGCCUCAGUAACGGCGAGUGAAGCGGCAAUAGCUCAAAUUUGAAAUCUGCUCUUCGAGCCGAAUUGUAAUUUGUAGAGGAUGCUUCGGCUUACGUUUCGGUCUAAGUUCCUUGGAACAGGACGUCAUAGAGGGUGAGAAUCCCGUCUGUGGCCGAGACUUCCGCCAUGUGAAGCUCCUUCGACGAGUCGAGUUGUUUGGGAAUGCAGCUCUAAAUGGGAGGUAUAUUUCUUCUAAAGCUAAAUACCGGCCAGAGACCGAUAGCGCACAAGUAGAGUGAUCGAAAGAUGAAAAGCACUUUGGAAAGAGAGUUAAAAAGUACGUGAAAUUGUUGAAAGGGAAGCGUUUGCGACCAGACUUGCCCGCGGAUGCUCAACCGGUCCUUCGGCCGGUGCACUCUUCCGCGGUCAGGCCAGCAUCAGUUCGAGUAGCCAGAUAAAGGCAUUGGGAAUGUGGCUCCCUUCGGGGAGUGUUAUAGCCCUUUGUGUAAUAUGGUUCAUUUGGACUGAGGCCCGCGCUUCGGCUAGGAUGCUGGCGUAAUGGUCGUAAGCGGCCCGUCUUGAAACACGGACCAAGGAGUCUAACAUCUAUGCGAGUGUUUGGGUGUCAAACCCGUGCGCGAAAUGAAAGUGAACGGAGGUGGGAACCUUUGGGUGCACCAUCGACCGAUCCUGAUGUCUUCGGAUGGAUUUGAGUAAGAGCAUAGCUGUUGGGACCCGAAAGAUGGUGAACUAUGCCUGAAUAGGGUGAAGCCAGAGGAAACUCUGGUGGAGGCUCGCAGCGGUUCUGACGUGCAAAUCGAUCGUCAAAUUUGGGUAUAGGG
rnacentral:rRNA from 1 species